AUUGAACGCUGGCGGCAUGCUUUACACAUGCAAGUCGAACGGCAGCACGGGCUUCGGCCUGGUGGCGAGUGGCGAACGGGUGAGUAAUGCAUCGGAACGUGCCCAUUUGUGGGGGAUAACUACGCGAAAGCGUGGCUAAUACCGCAUACGCCCUGAGGGGGAAAGCGGGGGAUUCUUCGGAACCUCGCGCAAUUGGAGCGGCCGAUGUCAGAUUAGCUUGUUGGUGAGGUAAAGGCUCACCAAGGCGACGAUCUGUAGCGGGUCUGAGAGGAUGAUCCGCCACACUGGGACUGAGACACGGCCCAGACUCCUACGGGAGGCAGCAGUGGGGAAUUUUGGACAAUGGGGGCAACCCUGAUCCAGCCAUGCCGCGUGAGUGAAGAAGGCCUUCGGGUUGUAAAGCUCUUUCAGCCGGGAAGAAAGCGCACUCUCUAACAUAGGGUGUGGAUGACGGUACCGGAAGAAGAAGCACCGGCUAACUACGUG
rnacentral:rRNA from 1 species